CUUCCUCUCCUUCCUCUCUUCCUUCCCUUUCUUUUCGUAUUUUUGCUUGAGGCUGUCGGUGACGAGUGUCGCCGAUUUUUGGUCGGAAAAGAUCCCUGUUUUGGGCCAUUUUUCCUUGGAUUUUCCGGCGCCGGCGAUCGAAAUCGACCGCCGGCCCUGCUCCUCCGUAACCGGGGGAGCAGUCUCCCUCUGCCGCCGGUCUCCGCCGCAGCGGCCGCGGCCUGAACGGCCGGUC
rnacentral:lncRNA from 1 species